AGCAGCAGUUUGUUGCUGGUAAAUCAGACACUACAGAUACAGGGCAUUAGAAGAUUGUUUAUCAUUUAUUUUAUAUAUAUAUAUAUAUAUGUUUGCAAAUGAUAUAUAUAGUUAAGGUUAUAUAUUUAGAGUUAUAUAUAUUUACAUACGGUUAGCAAAAAUUUUUUGAGUUCUAUAAUAAUCUAGGAAAGACGUCUGUCUAGUUUUUUUUGUUUGUUUGUUUUUGUGUUUUUUUUUUUUUUUUUUUUUUUCCCUAUAAAAAUACAGUGGUACUUGGCACUGUUGGGUGUGGGAAACCACAUCUUAACUUGAAAUCCAAAAUGUUGACCUGACACCAUUAAGAUGUAACUUGUACUUGGUUACUGUCUUUUUUCACAUGCAAAUUUUAACUCUGCCCAUUCUGACAUCACAGUGGAACAUAACCUGACUUGCUUACUCAAGGCCAGGUUUUGCCUUCCUUACUCACAUCAACUUCAGUUGAGCAAAGCAUAUAACAUUAAACACAUGUGGAUACUCACAUGUCUAAAGUUAACCACAUGCUUAUGCAGGUCUUCAAAUAGAUCAUAGAAAAAUAAGGCAGAAGUGUUGCAUGGAUGUUGUGAGGAGAAAAAAUCACUGGUGUCUGUAAGGUAUUCAGUCAGGGUCUACUUAUAUUUUGGAAGGAAGGGGGAUCAUGCAACAUGCAGCAAAAGGAAGAACUCCAUCAGGUCUCCACUAGAGAUUGCAUAGGUUGUAACUCCAACAUUGCAGACAGUUUGAUGGAAACUUCCUUUGUCCAGAAGGUCUGUAAUGUCCAGGCUGAUGGCAGAGGUACCAAUUGGCUCAGGUAGAGUACCAAUUUACGGCCAAAGCUAAAAUGCCUUAAAACAAAACAAAACAAACAAGAAAAGAACAAAAUAAACCUACUUCUGUUCCUUUUGCCUGAUUUCGC
rnacentral:lncRNA from 1 species